UCAUUGUCAGUUGCGAUUAAGAAACGCAUGCUUUGCUCGAGGUGUUAAGGAUAAUAAUGCACCCAUUGUUUUAAGCGUAGGUCACAACCAUCAAAUACUUUUUGAUCAACGAGAAAGAGUACAUUUUAUAGCUGACCUAAGACGAGCUGCUUCUAGAAGCUUGUUACCACCAACUGAAAUAUAUAAUAGGAUUGCUCGAAGAUAUCCAAAUGAAGCUCUAUUGACACCUCAUCCAUCAGUUGCGAGACUUUUACGAAAUAUUCGUCGUCAAAUUACUUUUCCGGUCAUUAAUACUUUAGGAGAGCUAAUUCAAGCAUUAUACAGUCAACCUCUGUCGCAUUUUCGGUAUUAUAGCGAUCAACAGUUUCUUCAAUUUUUAAAUUUUGCAGACAAUGCGGUGAUUAUAUGUGCACCAUGGUUGAUAUCCACUUUGAACAGUGAAACAAUUUAUGUUACAUCAACAUCUAGAUCUGCGGUGAAUGUUAAUGGUGUACGUCUGCUAACAACUGUCUCAGUUAAUUACAUCAAUCAUGUAUUUCCGGUUGCGUUUGU